AGCAACAUGACCAGCAGCCACGUUUGUUGUAAUUUUUUAAAUAUGUGGAAAAAAAGCAAGAUAUCAACCAUGUAUUACCUUAACCAAGAUGCCAAAUUAUCUAACUUGUUUCUCCAGGCAAGCAGCCCAACAACAGGGACAGCUCCCAGGAGCCAGUCAAGGUUGUCUGUCUGUCCAUCCACUCAGGACAUCUGCAGAUCUGCCAUCUUGCAUGACAUGUCAGAAGAGUCAUUUGAGUAUUGCACCCCUGUCAUGGUGCUGAGCCCUGCUAGGAAGGAGUCUGGUAAGAAAUCAGUAAUACAAAGACCUAGGAGGAGGAGAAAAGCCUCUGAGAGAUAUGAGCAUGCUGCAGAAGAACAAAUAAGAGGGAGAAAAAAUGACUUUCACCUUCAAAUCUCAAGCCCCAGGUGGAGGGAGCUUUACACAGAUUCUUCAGAUUCAUCUUCCACAGAUGAGAGUCAUUGGAUUCAGGCAAAAAGAAGAGCCCAGGUUAAAUUCAGACUGUCAAGAAGAAGGAGGAGAAAUAAUAAUAAGCCGUGUGAAAACUUAGCUGG
rnacentral:lncRNA from 1 species